GACGAACGCUGGCGGCGUGCUUAACACAUGCAAGUCGAGCGGUAAGGCCCUUUCGGGGGUACACGAGCGGCGAACGGGUGAGUAACACGUGGGUGACCUGCCCUCAGCUCUGGGAUAAGCCUGGGAAACCGGGUCUAAUACCGGAUAUGACUCCAUGACGCAUGUUGUGGGGUGGAAAGCCUUGUGCGGCUGAGGAUGGGCCCGCGGCCUAUCAGCUUGUUGGUGGGGUGAUGGCCUACCAAGGCGACGACGGGUAGCCGGCCUGAGAGGGCGACCGGCCACACUGGGACUGAGACACGGCCCAGACUCCUACGGGAGGCAGCAGUGGGGAAUCUUGCGCAAUGGGCGAAAGCCUGACGCAGCGACGCCGCGUGCCGGGAAGAA
rnacentral:rRNA from 1 species